UACGGAGGGUGCAAGCGUUAUCCGGAUUCACUGGGUUUAAAGGGUGCGUAGGUGGGCAGGUAAGUCAGUGGUGAAAUCUCCGGGCUUAACCCGGAAACUGCCAUUGAUACUAUCUGUCUUGAAUACCGUGGAGGUGAGCGGAAUAUGUCAUGUAGCGGUGAAAUGCUUAGAUAUGACAUAGAACACCAAUUGCGAAGGCAGCUCACUACACGAAUAUUGACACUGAGGACGAAAGCGUGGGGAUCAAACAGG
rnacentral:rRNA from 1 species